AUUGAACGCUGGCGGCAGGCUUAACACAUGCAAGUCGAGCGAGCGGCGGACUGGUGAGUAAUGUCUGGGAAAGUGCCUGGUGGAGGGGGAUAACUACUGGAAACGGUAGCUAAUACCGCAUACCAUCAGAUGUUCCCCUAUGGGAUUAGCUAGUCGGUGGGGUAAUGGCUCACCUAGGCGACGAUCCCUAGCUGGUGUGAGAGGAUGACCAGCCACACUGGAACUGAGACACGGUCCAGACGCCUACGUGAGGCAGCAGUGGGGAAUAUUGGACAAUGGGCGCAAGCCUGAUGCAGCCAUGCCGCGUGUGUGAAGAAGGCCUGCGGGUUGUAAAGCACUUUCAGCGGGGAGGCGUUACUCGCAGAAGAAGCACCGGCUAACUCCGUGCCAGCAGCCGCGGUAAUAC
rnacentral:rRNA from 1 species